ACGCUCGACACCUACGAGGCAGCAGUGGGGAAUAUUGCACAAUGGGGGAAACCCUGAUGCAGCGACGCCGCGUGAAGGAAGAAGUAUCUCGGUAUGUAAACUUCUAUCAGCAGGGAAGAAAGUGACGGUACCCUGACUAAGAAGCCCCGGCUAACUACGUGCCGGCAGCCGCGGUAAUCUGAGCGGGCUGGCAAGGC
rnacentral:rRNA from 1 species